rnacentral:rRNA from 1 species
GAUCAUUACAGUGUUGGUGAAAAGAGACAAAACGGCCGCUUUUGGACGCGACGCGCCCGAGCCCUCUCCAGGGAGGGCGGCCGUCUGUUUCUGACCACCCAAACAACCACCCCACCCCUGCUUAAUACGCACCUCUUGUUUCCUCGGCGGGCCCGCCCGCCGCAGGACCCCUUUUGGAAACGCUUUUGCAAACCACGCAGUCGUUCGUCUGAGCGGAGUUUAUACACGCAAUCAAAUUAAAACUUUCAACAACGGAUCUCUUGGUUCUGGCAUCGAUGAAGAACGCAGCGAAAUGCGAUAAGUAGUGUGAAUUGCAGAAUUCAGUGAAUCAUCGAAUCUUUGAACGCACAUUGCGCCCUUUGGCAUUCCGAAGGGCAUGCCUGUUCGAGCGUCAUUGCAACCCCUCCAGCAGCCUCUUGCUGGGCGUUGGGCGUCUUUGUGGCUGCGGCCACUCGCCUGAAAAGCAUCGGCGCCGGCGCGUCGGCCCUGCGCGUAGCACAUUGUUCGCGCCUGGGACCCCGUCGCGGCGGCCGCCGUCAACGCAGCGCAGCACGCACUGCUGCCUCCAUGACUUGACCUCGGAUCAGGUAGGGAUACCCGCUGAACUUAAGCAUAUCAAUAAGCGGAGGAAAAGAAACCAACAGGGAUUGCCCCAGUAACGGCGAGUGAAGCGGCAACAGCUCAAAUUUGAAAGCUGGCUCUCGGGCCCGCGUUGUAAUUUGCAGAGGGCACUUCGGCGGCGGCGCCGGCCUAAGUUCCUUGGAACAGGGCGUCAGAGAGGGUGAGAACCCCGUUCGCGGCCGGGCGGCCGCCGCCAUGUGAAGGCUCUUCGACGAGUCGAGUUGUUUGGGAAUGCAGCUCUAAAUGGGAGGUAUAUUUCUUCUAAAGCUAAAUACCGGCCAGAGACCGAUAGCGCACAAGUAGAGUGAUCGAAAGAUGAAAAGCACUUUGGAAAGAGAGUCAAACAGCACGUGAAAUUGUUGAAAGGGAAGCGCUUGCAACCAGACGUGCCCGCGGGCGCUCAGCCGCGCCUUGUGCGCGGCGCGCUCGCCCGCGGAGCAGGCCAGCAUCGGUUGGGGCGGCUGGACAAAGGCGCCGGGAACGUGGCCCCCCUCCGGGGGGGUGUUAUAGCCCGGCGCGCCAUGCAGCCAGCCCCGACCGAGGUCCGC